CGCACAUUGCGCCCGCCAGUAUUCUGGCGGGCAUGCCUGUUCGAGCGUCAUUUCAACCCUCAAGCCCUACCUUGUGAACGGCUUGGUGUUGGGGAUCGGCAGCUUUGCCGUCCCCUAAAAGUAUUGGCGGCCCUCCGAGGCGACCUCUGCGUAGUAACUUACCUCGCACUGGGAAGCUUGGAGCGGCCACGCCGUAAAACCCCCGACUUUUAUAAGGUUGACCUCGAAUCAGGUAGGACUACCCGCUGAACUUAA
rnacentral:misc_RNA from 1 species